rnacentral:rRNA from 1 species
UUGAAGUGUGGACGCCAGUCUGCAUGGAGCCGGCCUUGAAAUACCACCCUUUAAUGUUUGAUGUUCUAACGUGGACCCGUGAUCCGGGUUGCGGACAGUGUCUGGUGGGUAGUUUGACUGGGGCGGUCUCCUCCUAAAGAGUAACGGAGGAGCACGAAGGUUGGCUAAUCCUGGUCGGACAUCAGGAGGUUAGUGCAAUGGCAUAAGCCAGCUUGACUGCGAGCGUGACGGCGCGAGCAGGUGCGAAAGCAGGUCAUAGUGAUCCGGUGGUUCUGAAUGGAAGGGCCAUCGCUCAACGGAUAAAAGGUACUCCGGGGAUAACAGGCUGAUACCGCCCAAGAGUUCAUAUCGACGGCGGUGUUUGGCACCUCGAUGUCGGCUCAUCACAUCCUGGGGCUGAAGUAGGUCCCAAGGGUAUGGCUGUUCGCCAUUUAAAGUGGUACGCGAGCUGGGUUUAGAACGUCGUGAGACAGUUCGGUCCCUAUCUGCCGUGGGCGCUGGAGAACUGAGGGGGGCUGCUCCUAGUACGAGAGGACCGGAGUGGACGCAUCACUGGUGUUCGGGUUGUCAUGCCAAUGGCACUGCCCGGUAGCUAAAUGCGGAAGAGAUAAGUGCUGAAAGCAUCUAAGCACGAAACUUGCCCCGA